UCAAACUUGGUCAUUUAGAGGAAGUAAAAGUCGUAACAAGGUUUCCGUAGGUGAACCUGCGGAAGGAUCAUUAACAAAAUUGUUAUCCAAUAUUCACCUUGUGUGCAAUUUUGCAUGAUAUCCUUUGGAAAGAUUAUUCUAUUAUCUAUAAUAGUAAUAGUAAUCUUUCCAAAGAGGUUAUUAUAAUCAAUCUAUUUUUUCUUUUCUUUAUAAUGUCUAAAACUAAAAUAUCUAAAAUAACUUUUAACAACGGAUCUCUUGGUUCUCGCAUCAAUGAAGAACGCAGC
rnacentral:misc_RNA from 1 species